UUCCUCCUCCCCACCCUUCUCCCCUGCAGGAUUCCUCCUCCCCACCCUUCUCCCGUGCAGGAUUCCUCCUCCUCACCCCUCUCCCCUGCAGGAUUCCUCCUCCCCACCCCUCUCCCCUGCAGGAUUCCUCCUCCUCACCCCUCUCCCCUGCAGGAUUCCUCCUCCCCACCCUUCUCCCCUGCAGGAUUCCUCCUCCCCACCCUUCUCCCGUGCAGGAUUCCUCCUCCUCACCCCUCUCCCCUGCAGGAUUCCUCCUCCCCACCCCGCGCCCCUGCAGGAUUCCUCCUCCCCACCCCUCUCCCCUGCAGGAUUCCUCCUCCCCACCCCUCUCCCCUGCAGGAUUCCUCCUCCUCACCCCUCACCCAUGCAGGAUCCUUUCUUCUGACCCCCCAUCCUCAUCACCCCCACUGUCAUCUGUGGGGUUCUUUCUCACUUGACUUCACUGAAAACACUGUUGGGCGUCUCCAGCUGUGGGCUGCUCUGUGUUGUUUGGGGCUCCGUGUGGAUGGGAUCAAAGGUGCCAUGUGAGGGACAGAUGAGCACAUGAGCCGCGAGGGCCGUGGAGCUGGCAGGCUGACCUGAGGCUGUGCAACAGGCUGUGGCCAUCUCCCCGUUAGGUGCUGUACAGGAAGACUGAGCACGCGCUGGACCUGCUGCUUCAGAGCUUCGUCUCAGAGAACAAGAGCAUGGAUGAGGCUUCCUUCCUCCUGGAGCACACAGAACCCUGGCUGAGGUCGGAAAAGAGCCGUGAACGCAGGUGGGUGGUGCAGUCCCUCCUCCAGCUCCUACAGUACGUGUGGGACUCCCUGAAGUUCACUGUGAGUACCCCGCACUGCACCCCCACAGGGAGAGCUGGGGAUACUGGCACUGCACUGCCAUCUGUGCUCGCUGCUUCUGGCUAUCAGCGCUCACCCACAUCUGCCAGGUGCUGGGCACUGUGUUGGUGGAUCAGAUGAAGGUCUCCCAGUCCUGAGGCAGAGGGAAUGCUUCAAGGAGGGUGGUCUGAGGCAAUCUCAGUGGGAGAAAGGGAGGGACCCUG
rnacentral:lncRNA from 1 species